GGACUACGCGGGUAUCUAAUCCGGUUUGCUCCCCCAGCUUUCGUCCCUCACUGUCGGAGCCGUUCUGGUGCGAUGCCUUCGCCAUCGGUGGUCCCCCAGGGAUUACAGGAUUUCACUCCUACCCCUGGAGUACCUCGCACCUCUCCCGGUCCCUAGACUGCCAGUAUCCCCUGAACGCCCACCAGUUAAGCCGGCGGAUUUCCCAAGGGACUUAACAGUCCAGCUACGGACCCUUUAAGCCCAGUAAUAGUGGCCACCACUCGAGCCGCCGGUAUUACCGCGGCGGCUGGCACCGGUCUUGCCCGGCCCUUUCUUCACCUGCGUUUUGCACAGAUGGACAGCCUGAUUGUCAGGCACUCGGAGUUUCCUUAUCACAGUUGCCUGCAUUGUAAAGUUUUCGCGCCUGCUGCACCCCAUAGG
rnacentral:rRNA from 1 species